rnacentral:lncRNA from 1 species
GUGAAAAAGAAAAAGAAUUUUGAAAAAGAUCUUACGAUCAAAAGAAAUCAAUGAAAUUGAAAAGAUAAAAGAAAGAAAAGAUUGUGGCAUACAAAAAGAAUUACCAAAAGAAAGAAACAUGGGGAAAGUGAAAGAGAGUGAAUAGCUUAUGUGAUGAAAAUUCUCAAGAAUNNNNNNNNNNNNNNUCUCUUAUCCUUAAGGCAUUUUGAAUCCAAAGAAAAACAAUGAUUUCUUGUAGCCUAGCCCCAUUACAAGCUUAAGAAAGACCUUAGUGAUCCAUGAUUGAUGACAUGUUUUGUGAUUAUGUUGGGAUGUAUGUUUGAAUUGAUUUGUUGUGAACACAUUGUUUGGAUUGAGAGAAACACUACACCCUUGAGAUGAAACACUUGUGAGAAUUGUGAUUCUAGUUGAUUAUCUUGUUGACUUGGAAAGCUUGAAAUCNNNN